AGUGAAGGGCUUAGGGCAUUUGCCGGAGAGGGGACACACAUGGGUGCAGCAUGGACCAAAGCAUGUCAGCAAGGUGGAAGAGUGUCAGCAGGAGAAUGUGAAAUAACCAAAGACAACAUGUGAUUGAGAGCAGCUAACAGCAGUGGUCUGGCACCCAGAGAGGUUUAAAGACAGUCUCCAUAGUGCUGUGGUCUUACAGGUGAAACACAAAUGGUGGGCACAGGGCUCACUGACACCUGACUGAUGCCCAGGAGAAGCCUAAAAUCUGUGCUAGAUGACAAAUAAACGGGAACAUAUUUCCCUGGGUAGUUUCCUAAACAAGUGCAGCAUCAGUAGUCACACAUGAUUGAGAAGCUACCAUGUUUAGUGGAAGGAGCCUC